rnacentral:rRNA from 1 species
GACGAACGCUGGCGGCGUGCCUAAUACAUGCAAGUAGAACGCUGAAGGAGGAGCUUGCUUCUCUGGAUGAGUUGCGAACGGGUGAGUAACGCGUAGGUAACCUGCCUGGUAGCGGGGGAUAACUAUUGGAAACGAUAGCUAAUACCGCAUAAGAGUAGAUGUCGCAUGACAUUUGCUUAAAAGGUGCAAUUGCAUCACUACCAGAUGGACCUGCGUUGUAUUAGCUAGUUGGUGAGGUAACGGCUCACCAAGGCAACGAUACAUAGCCGACCUGGGAGGGUGAUCGGCCACACUGGGACUGAGACACGGCCCAGACUCCUACGGGAGGCAGCAGUAGGGAAUCUUCGGCAAUGGACGGAAGUCUGACCGAGCAACGCCGCGUGAGUGAAGAAGGGUUUCGGAUCGUAAAGCUCUGUUGUAAGAGAAGAACGAGUGUGAGAGUGGAAAGUUCACACUGUGACGGUAUCUUAACAGAAAGGGACGGCUAACUACGUG